rnacentral:rRNA from 1 species
UACAGGGGGGGCAAGCGUUGUCCGGAAUUACUGGGCGUACAGCGCGCGCAGGCGGUCCACUACGUGCCGUGUGACAAACGUCGGCUUAACCGACGGAGGCCAGGGUACACGGGUGAACUUGAGGCAGAGAGAGGGAUGUGGAAUACCCGGUGGAGCGGUGAAAUGCGUAGAGAUCGGGUGGAACACCAGGGGCGAAGGCGGGUCUCUGGACAGUUCCUGACACUGAGGCACGAAGGCCAGGGGAGCAAACGGG